rnacentral:rRNA from 1 species
CAGAACGACGCUGGCGGCGCGUCUUAAACAUGCAAGUCGAACAAUCUGUAGCAAUACAGGGAGUGGCGGACGGGUGAGGAACACGUAGGAAUCUACCUUGAAGAGCGGGACAACUUUGGGAAACCGGGGCUAAUACCGCAUAGUACAGAGAUGUUAAAGGGCUAGCAAUAGUCGCUUCGAGAUGAGCCUGCGGUCUAUCAGCUUGUUGGUGAGGUAAUGGCUCACCAAGGCUACGACGGAUAGCCGGUCUGAGAGGAUGAUCGGCCACACUGGCACUGAGACACGGGCCAGACUCCUACGGGAGGCAGCAGUUAAGAAUCUUGCGCAAUGGGGGAAACCCUGACGCAGCGACGCCGCGUGAAGGAUGAAGGCUUUCGGGUUGUAAACUUCGGUAGACUGGGAAGAAGAAAUACAUUCGUUGAGGGCGUAUAGUGACGGUACCAGUCUGAAGCCCCGGCUAAUUACGUG